rnacentral:tRNA from 1 species
GCACUUGUAGCUUAAAUGGAUAAAGCAUUAUAUUCCGAAUUUAAUAGAUGGAGGUUCAAAUCCUCCCAAGUGCA